rnacentral:rRNA from 1 species
GACGAACGCUGGCGGCGUGCUUAACACAUGCAAGUCGAACGGUAAGGCUCCAGCUUGCUGGGGUACACGAGUGGCGAACGGGUGAGUAACACGUGGGUGACCUGCCCUGCACUUCGGGAUAAGCCUGGGAAACUGGGUCUAAUACCGGAUAGGACUGCACCGUGAGGGUGUGGUGGAAAGUUUUUUCGGUGUGGGAUGGGCCCGCGGCCUAUCAGCUUGUUGGUGGGGUAAUGGCCUACCAAGGCGGCGACGGGUAGCCGGCCUGAGAGGGUGGACGGCCACAUUGGGACUGAGACACGGCCCAGACUCCUACGGGAGGCAGCAGUGGGGAAUAUUGCACAAUGGGCGGAAGCCUGAUGCAGCGACGCCGCGUGGGGGAUGACGGCCUUCGGGUUGUAAACUCCUUUCACCAUCGACGAAGGGUUUCUGACGGUAGAUGGAGAAGAAGCACCGGCUAACUACGUG